GUGUCAGCAGCCGCGGUAAGACGGAGGGGGCUAGCGUUGUUCGGAAUUACUGGGCGUAAAGAGUGCGUAGGCGGUUUAGUAAGUUGGAAGUGAAAGCCCGGGGCUUAACCUCGGAAUUGCUUUCAAAACUACUAAUCUAGAGUGUAGUAGGGGAUGAUGGAAUUCCUAGUGUAGAGGUGAAAUUCUUAGAUAUUAGGAGGAACACCGGUGGCGAAGGCGGUCAUCUGGGCUACAACUGACGCUGAUGCACGAAAGCGUGGGGAGCAAACAGGAUUAGAUACCCUGGUAGUCCACGCCGUAAACGAUGAGUGCUAGAUAUUGGGAGAUUUUCUCUCGGUUUCGCAGCUAACGCAUUAAGCACUCCGCCUGGGGAGUACGGUCGCAAGAUUAAAACUCAAAUAAAUUGACGG
rnacentral:rRNA from 1 species